rnacentral:pre_miRNA from 9 species
UCUCGAUACCGUAAAAGUUAGCUCCUCUUUGUAUGGAAUGGGAUCGCUUGCCUACGUUUGCCGCUAGGGGCGCUGUUCCAACUGCAUACAAAAUUAGGCUAACUUUUACGCUAUCGA